AUAUAUAUUUUAGAAUAAGGCUGUAACGUAGCAAAAUGUGGAAAAAGUCAAGGGGUCUGAAUAAUUUCCGAAUGCUCUGUAUGUGUCAGAUCUGACCGUUUUUUUGUUUGUAUAUUUCUUACUCCUUAGUUGCAAGUUAAGGCUGUGUGUUUGGUGUGUACCAUUUGUUUUACAGGUAGCCUACAGUACCUGCCUUUUUUCUGAAAUCUUUCUCGUCCUCAUUCUGCCUCUGUUCAUACCUUUGCCCCAAAGUUUUACCCGUUCCAGUGACAGGAAAACUCCUGGUCAUAUUACAGUACGGAGCCUUCCUCUGCGCCACGUCACUCCCAUCUGAACUAUCUAUGUCACUGUGUCACAUUAUUUCCUAUUAAGUUAUAGUUUAAGGUAGAAAAGUCUAUUAAGUUAUAGUUUAAGGUAGAGAAGUCUAUUAAGUUAUAGUUUAAGGUAGAGAAGUCUAUUAAGUUAUAGUUUAAGGUAGAGAAGUCUAUUAAGUUAUAGUUUAAGGUAGAGAAGUCGUCUCAUGAGGAUUUUCAUUGAUGUUGUACUUUUUUUUAUCUUCAUUUAAACAAAAUGGUUUUACUUCACUGUGUAAUUGUUUAAUUUAUACAGAUAUUCACAACCCUUUACCACAACGACCAUAGUGUGAUUGACUGGCUAGAGAACCAACCCAACCCUGCUAUAAUUCUAAGUGUUCCUAGAUGUUACCCUCUGGGAGCUGGUCUUCAGGUCCCAGACACGGCUACAUGGUUCAUGGUUCAUCAACAGGACAACUACCAUAUAACUGUCUUUUAUCAUCAGUCCCUUACAAGGAUUCAUCGUUCCUGUGUGACGUCCUGUAUCUCAGUCUGUAACUCAGUCUGUAACUCAGUCCUGAGACUAAGAUACAGACUGAGAUACAGACUGAGAUACAGACUAAGAUACAGACUGAGUUACAGACUGAGUUACAGGCUGAGUUACAGACUGAGUUACAGACUGAGAUACAGACUGAGUUACAGACUGAGAUACAGACUGAGUUACAGACUGAGUUACAGACUGAGAUACAGGACUGAGUUACAGACUGAGAUACAGACUGAGUUACAGACUGAGAUACAGACUGAGAUACAGACUGAGAUACAGACUGAGAUACAGACUGAGUUACAGACUGAGAUACAGACUGAGUUACAGACUGAGUUACAGACUGAGUUACAGACUGAGAUACAGACUGAGUUACAGACUGAGUUACAGAGACUGAGUUACAGACUGAGUUACAGACUGAGUUACAGACUGAGUUACAGACUGAGUUACAGACUGAGUUACAGACUGAGAUACAGGACUGAGUUACAGACUGAGAUACAGACUGAGUUACAGACUGAGUUACAGACUGAGUUACAGACUGAGAUACAGGACUGAGUUACAGACUGAGUUACAGACUGAGUUACAGACUGAGUUACAGACUGAGAUACAGACUGAGAUACAGACUGAGUUACAGACUGAGUUACAGACUGAGUUACAGACUGAGAUACAGACUGAGAUACAGACUGAGUUACAGACUGAGUUACAGACUGAGAUACAGACUGAGAUACAGACUGAGUUACAGACUGAGUUACAGACUGAGAUACAGACUGAGUUACAGACUGAGAUACAGACUGAGAUACAGACUGAGAUACAGACUGAGUUACAGACUGAGUUACAGGCUGAGUUACAGACUGAGUUACAGACUGAGAUACAGACUGAGUUACAGACUGAGAUACAGACUGAGUUACAGACUGAGUUACAGACUGAGAUACAGGACUGAGUUACAGACUGAGAUACAGACUGAGUUACAGACUGAGAUACUGACUGAG